GCUGUUAUAGCUCAGUCGGUAGAGCGCAACAUCGGUAAUGUUGAGGUCACGGGUUCGAUUCCCGUUAGCAGCU
rfam:Eubacterium ruminantium strain ATCC 17233 genome assembly, contig: EI46DRAFT_scaffold00009.9